rnacentral:rRNA from 1 species
GACGAACGCUGGCGGCGUGCUUAACACAUGCAAGUCGAACGGAAAGGCCCUGCUUUUGUGGGGUGCUCGAGUGGCGAACGGGUGAGUAACACGUGAGUAACCUGCCCUUGACUUUGGGAUAACUUCAGGAAACUGGGGCUAAUACCGGAUAGGAGCUCCUGCUGCAUGGUGGGGGUUGGAAAGUUUCGGCGGUUGGGGAUGGACUCGCGGCUUAUCAGCUUGUUGGUGGGGUAGUGGCUUACCAAGGCUUUGACGGGUAGCCGGCCUGAGAGGGUGACCGGCCACAUUGGGACUGAGAUACGGCCCAGACGCCUACGGGAGGCAGCAGUGGGGAAUAUUGCACAAUGGGCGGAAGCCUGAUGCAGCAACGCCGCGUGCGGGAUGAAGGCCUUCGGGUUGUAAACCGCUUUCGCCUGUGACGAAGCGUGAGUGACGGUAAUGGGUAAAGAAGCACCGGCUAACUACG